rnacentral:lncRNA from 1 species
UCAUAUUUUAUAUGUGUUUUCAGGGUUUAUAAGGCCUUUAUAAUUGUCUAAGUUUGUUUUUGUAGAUACAAAGUCUGAGGAGUGUCAAGUGUAUGGUACUCUAUGACAAAAUGGAGAUUUUUCCACUUGUCGGGGCUUGUAUUCAAAAGCUUGUUGGGUCAUGGAUCUUUUCUCACACCUAGAUCAUUUUUCUUUUCAAGUGAAACUCAAAUGGAGAUCAAUGAUGAUUGGAUCCUUAUUUGAAGCACCUUAUAUGAGAACGAUGGAUGUAGCUACUUCUUAGUAUAAAGUGUAAGAGCUACUCGCUUGUAUGUCAUUUUUUCUCUAUCUCUUCACGGAACUAGAGUCAUCAUUACAUAUUUGAUGGUGGAUGCAUGAGAGCUUGUUGAU